rnacentral:piRNA from 1 species
UGAAGAUGGUCCUGAUGGGCAGGAGA